rnacentral:rRNA from 1 species
ACUCAAUAGAUACCCUGGUAGUCCACGCCCUAAACGAUGUCUACUAGUUGUCGGGUCUUAAUUGACUUGGUAAACGCAGCUAAACGCGUGAAGUAGACCGCCUGGGGAGUACGGUCGCAAGAUUAAAACUCAAAGGAAUUGACGGGGACCCGCACAAGCGGUGGAUGAUGUGGAUUAAAUUCGAUGCAACGCGAAAAACCUUACCUACCCUUGACAUGGAUGGAAUCCUUGAGAGAUUGAGGAGUGCCCGAAAGGGAACCAUUACACAGGUGCUGCAUGGCUGUCGUCAGCUCGUGUCGUGAGAUGUUGGGUUAAGUCCCGCAACGAGCGCAACCCUUGUCAUUAGUUGCUACGAAAGGGCACUCUAAUGAGACUGCCGGUGACAAACCGGAGGAAGGUGGGGAUGACGUCAAGUCCUCAUGGCCCUUAUGGGUAGGGCUUCACACGUCAUACAAUGGUACAUACAGAGGGCCGCCAACCCGCGAGGGGUAGCUAAUCCCAGAAAGUGUAUCGUAGUCCGGAUUGUAGUCUGCAACUCG